CAGGGUCUGUAGACUAGGAAAGUCUAGUAUGUGAAGAUCCUUCAAUGUAGUUAUGUAUUGCAGUCCCACAGGCAGAGAGGUGAAAUUGGGGCAAUGUGACAUUCUCAAGGAUCGUAAAGCAUUGAGGUUCUGUGUACCUUCCUCCGGUAAAUGAACCAAAUCUGGGCAACCUUCAACGUUCAACUUCUCAAGAGCAGUGAGAUGUUGUACUCCUGCUAAAGAUGAUAAUGCCAUGCAGUUCAAGAUGGACAACUCUCGGAGGGAGAUAAGACCUUGUAUCUCUGGCAAGGAUGUUAAGAGAGGG
rnacentral:misc_RNA from 1 species